UGGAAUCAAGUAUAAGAGAUGUUGGAAAAUCACCCUAACACCUCGUUGGAAGAAUCAGCAACAAAAUAACUCCAAUUUCACCAAAAAUCAAAGAAAAACUCCAGAAUCUUCACCGUAAAAAAAAACCAGUAAUCAGCACCGAAGACGCCAUGAACUCAGACCAAAGAAACGGGGAAGAUAGAGAGUAUGUCCAGGAGUAUCCAGGCUCUGAUACCAUGUAAACAUGGUGAUUCAGAGUUGAAUCAAGAUCAAAAGAAGAAAAUAGAGAGAUGAAGCAGAGAGAGAAAAUAGAGAGAAAUGAGAGAACAGUUCUC
rnacentral:lncRNA from 1 species